CAUAGGAAGCACCUCCAGGACUAGAAUGAGCAGCUCAUGCAGCUACUCAACAUAGUGAAUGUGAGCUGCUCAUUCUGGUUCUAGAGGCGCUUCCUACGGUUAAUCUUGAAGACCUUGAGUGGGGGUGGAGGCUGGAUUGUGAGCCAGAUGCCCCAUCAACAGGGGCGGUAAAGGAGAAGAAGAUAGUUGUUUAACGG